rnacentral:rRNA from 1 species
CUUGAGUGCAGAAGAGGAGAGUGGAACUCCAUGUGUAGCGGUGGAAUGCGUAGAUAUAUGGAAGAACACCAGUGGCGAAGGCGGCUCUCUGGUCUGCAACUGACGCUGAGGCUCGAAAGCAUGGGUAGCGAACAGGAUUAGAUACCCUGGUAGUCCAUGCCGUAAACGAUGAGUGCUAAGUGUUGGGAGGUUUCCGCCUCUCAGUGCUGCAGCUAACGCAUUAAGCACUCCGCCUGGGGAGUACGACCGCAAGGUUGAAACUCAAAGGAAUUGACGGGGGCCCGCACAAGCGGUGGAGCAUGUGGUUUAAUUCGAAGCAACGCGAAGAACCUUACCAGGUCUUGACAUCUAGUGCAAUCUGUAGAGAUACGGAGUUCCCUUCGGGGACGCUAAGACAGGUGGUGCAUGG